UGCUUUACAAUUAGAACUGAAGGGAAUGCAGUUUACGUUUCUCAAGCAGCUUAUAACAAUACUUUUUUAAUAUAAAACUAUGGAAUUAAUUGAUUGCGCUAGCUAAGCGCAAAUUAAUCAAUAAAGAUGAAGUUUUAAAGAGCGAAGGGACAUUAGCAGCCUCUUGCGCAAGGAAGUUGUGGCCCAAUGGGUGGCUGCUUGCAGCACCAACUUCUCGUUCUGUGGUUUUGGUGGAUGAUCAGGUGGGUAAAGGCGAGUGCUUCGUUCAAGACUUUGAAGCUGAGGAAUGGAUGAGAGCAGGACUGGAAUUAGAAGACAGGAAUAACAAGCUGUCCUUGGACCUCUCCACACCAAAGGAUCUGGACGAGUUCGUUCAAACACCAUUUGGAGGAGGCAUAGUUCUCAGAGAAGAUCACCACAGCUAUACCUGAAUCCUGAAUUGCUUGGAUCAGUGCGUCCGAGAUGUCAUUGCCUUUUGGGAGCUCAUAAUCUAUGUAGGUCCGAAUUCCUCUCUGGCGUAAGGCAGCAUAGAGAUGGCUGGCGAAGGUUCUACGAGUAUCCUCGCCUCUGAAACUCAAAAACACAUCAUGUUUCUUGGGAGGAAGUGAGGACGAGGAUGAAGAAGCAGUACCAAAAGCCAUGAUACUAUGAUCAGCUAUUCAAAGCGAACAGUUAGGUUUUUGAGAUUGAGACUCGCCAAAGGUGAUUUAUCUGGCAUGAUGUAUAAUUGUUUAGUUGAAGUGGGGACUCACAUGAAUAGUGGCAAUAAAAUUCAUUUAAAAACUAA